rnacentral:rRNA from 1 species
GAUGAACGCUGGCGGCGUGCCUAAUACAUGCAAGUCGAGCGAACAGACGAGGAGCUUGCUCCUCUGACGUUAGCGGCGGACGGGUGAGUAACACGUGGAUAACCUACCUAUAAGACUGGGAUAACUUCGGGAAACCGGAGCUAAUACCGGAUAAUAUAUUGAACCGCAUGGUUCAAUGGUGAAAGACGGUUUUGCUGUCACUUAUAGAUGGAUCCGCGCCGCAUUAGCUAGUUGGUAAGGUAACGGCUUACCAAGGCGACGAUGCGUAGCCGACCUGAGAGGGUGAUCGGCCACACUGGAACUGAGACACGGUCCAGACUCCUACGGGAGGCAGCAGUAGGGAAUCUUCCGCAAUGGGCGAAAGCCUGACGGAGCAACGCCGCGUGAGUGAUGAAGGUCUUCGGAUCGUAAAACUCUGUUAUUUGGGAAGAACAAAUGUGUAAGUAACUAUGCACGUCUUGACGGUACCUAAUCAGAAAGCCACGGCUAACUACGUG